UAGGGAAUAUUGGUCAAUGGGCGCAAGCCUGAACCAGCCAUGCCGCGUGAGUGACGAAGGCCUUCGGGUCGUAAAACUCUUUUCUGUGGGAAGAACAACCGGGACAGGAAAUGGUCUCGGCCUGACGGUACCUCCGGAAUAAGCAACGGCUAACUCCGUGCCAGCAGCCGCGGUAAUACGGAGGUUGCGAGCGUUGUUCGGAAUAACUGGGCGUAAAGGGAGCGCAGGCGGUUUGGUAAGUCUAAAGUGAAAGCCCGGGGCUUAACCUCGGAAUUGCUUUGGAUACUGUCAGACUAGAGUGCGUAAGAGGAAAGCGGAAUUCCAGGUGUAGCGGUGAAAUGCGUAGAUAUCUGGAGGAACACCAGUGGCGAAAGCGGCUUUCUGGUACGAUACUGACGCUGAGGUUCGAAAGCAUGGGGAGCGAACA
rnacentral:rRNA from 1 species